rnacentral:rRNA from 1 species
UACGGGGGGGGCAAGCGUUGUUCGGAAUUACUGGGCGUAAAGGGCUCGUAGGCGGCCAACUAAGUCGGACGUGAAAUCCCCAGGCUCAACCUGGGAACUGCGUCCGAUACUGGAUGGCUUGAAUUCGGGAGAGGGAUGCAGAAUUCCAGGUGUAGCGGUGAAAUGCGUAGAUAUCUGGAGGAAUACCGGUGGCGAAGGCGGCAUCCUGGACCGACAUUGACGCUGAGGAGCGAAAGCGUGGGGAGCGAACAGG